rnacentral:lncRNA from 1 species
UCAGACGCCGUCUUAUAUUAACAAGCAGGAAAGCCGGUGUUAAUGCUUAUUUAUCCCAUGCAAAGUCAUUUUGUAACAUGUUCCCAAAAUUUUGCAGAUAUUUGCUAAAGUACACAAGAAUAGAAAGAUGUGGGUGUAGAUGGUUCAGCUCUCAACAACAGGUUAGAAAACAACCUGGGAGAGGAUCACUAUUUC